rnacentral:rRNA from 1 species
GGAUAAGCUACGAAGAGCUAACGGCGGAUGCCUUGGCAUCGGGAGGCGAUGAAGGACGCGGCAAGCUGCGAUAAGCUUCGGGGAGCUGUUAACGAGCUUUGAUCCGGAGAUUUCCGAAUGGGGCAACCCGGCAGGAGUCAUAUCCUGUCAUCUGGUGAUCAAUACAUAGUCACCAGAGGCGAACGCAGGGAACUGAAACAUCUAAGUACCUGCAGGAGUAGAAAUCAAUUGAGAUUCCGUCAGUAGUGGCGAGCGAACGCGGAUUAGCCCAAACCAGGUCUUUGACCUGGGGUUGUAGGACCCCAAUAUGGGAUUGGAGCACGAUAGUGGAACGGCAUGGAAAGGCCGACCGUAGACGGUGAUAGUCCGGUACGCGAAAUGGUGCUGCACUCUAGGGAGUUCCUGAGUACCACGGGACACGUGAAACCCUGUGGGAAUCUGGGAGGACCAUCUUCCAAGGCUAAAUACUCAUCAGUGACCGAUAGUGAACCAGUACCGUGAGGGAAAGGUGAAAAGUACGGGGAGACCCGAGUGAAAUAGUCCCUGAAACCGUCUGCUUACAAGCGGUAGGAGCACGAUGUCUUCGGACCGUGUGACUGCGUGCCUUUUGCAUAAUGAGUCAACGAGUUAUCCUAUGCAGCGAGGUUAAGCCGAGAGGUGUAGCCGUAGCGAAAGCGAGUCUUAAUAGGGCGUCGAGUUGCAUGGGGUAGACCCGAAACCGGGUGAUCUAUCCAUGGCCAGGGUGAAGUUUCGGUAACACGAAAUGGAGGCCCGAACCGCUAUAGGUUGAAAACUGUUCGGAUGAGCUGUGGAUAGGAGUGAAAGGCUAAUCAAACUCGGUGAUAGCUGGUUUUCUCCGAAAUAUAUUUAGGUAUAGCCUCGCAUGGUGACUGACGGAGGUAGAGCACUGACAAGACUAGGGGUCCCACCGGAUUACCAACUCUUUUCAAACUCCGAAUACCGUCAAGUUCUAGUGCGGGAGUCAGACUACGGGAGAUAAGUUCCGUGGUCGAAAGGGAAAGAACCCAGACCGUCAGCUAAGGUCCCUAAAUCUAUGCUAAGUGGAAAAGGAUGUGGAAUUGUUUAUACAACCAGGAGGUUGGCUUAGAAGCAGCAACCCUUUAAAGAAAGCGUAAUAGCUCACUGGUCUAAUGGAUCUGCGCCGAAAAUUCAACGGGCUAAGCAUAGUACCGAAGCUACGGAUCGCGCCUUUGGCGCGAUGGUAGGAGAACAUUGUGGUUGCCUGAGAAGGUGUACCGAAAGGAGCGCUGGAGGCCCCACAAGAGCUUAUGUUGACACGAGUAGCGAUAAACAAG